rnacentral:rRNA from 1 species
AUGGAAAGUAAGAAGAGAAGGGAAGAUUGGCUGGUCGGGAGAGCUGAGAACUCAAGGGUGGAUGAUAAUAAACAUAGCUGGAAGAGCUUGUGGAAGAUUAAUGCGCCGGGGAAGAUAAAAAAUUUCGCAUGGCGCCUUGCCAGAAACACAAUUCCAACGGAUGCAUUAAGACAUCACCGCCAUAUGACACAGAGUAGUGUGUGCCCUGUUUGUAACGGAGCUGAAGAUACCUGGAAACAUGCUCUUAUGGAAUGCACAGUGGCAAAGUGUGUCUGGUCCCUAAUCGAUGAAGAUCUGGUGGAACAUCUGAUAGCUUGCAGAAUGACUGAUGCCAAACUUUGGCUUACUGAAAUGCAGGCUUCAAUGGACGAGAAUGGUUUUGUCAAAACGCUAGUUAUCCUUUGGUCCAUAUGGUGGGCACGAAGAAAGCUAAUUCAUGAAGACCAAGUUCAGUCCCCACUGACAACAUUCAUGUUCAUAAAAAAAUAUCUUGAUGACCUGGCAACAAUCCCAUGCAACAGUGCAGCGAGGACCAUAACUGUUCAAACGACAAGGUGGACUCCACCACCGGCUGGGGCUGUUAAGAUUCAUGUUGAUGCGGCUGUUGGACGUCAUGAAGAUAGAGGAGCCUGUGCUGCUGUUUGUAGAGACGAAACAGGACACUUUCUUGGUGCUUCGGUUACAGUAGUCCAACAUUUGAUUUCCCCGGACAUUCUUGAAGCGAAGGCAAGCAGUGAGGCUCUUUCACUAGCGAUGGAUCUGAUGUGCAAUAAUGUGAUCGUUGCGACUGAUUGUCAGGAAACGGUUAAGAACCUGAAGCAGCCUUAUCUUGGAAGGUCGACAGCGAUUAUUCAUGAAAUUAAAGAGAAGAUUAAGACGGCGGGAUCAGUUGUUUUUCUGUAUGAGAGUAGAAGUAUGAAUCUAGAAGCUCAUAAACUUGCAAAGGCGGCCACCACUCUCGGUUUUGGUCGUCAUUCGUGGCUGCUGGAUAGGCCAGACUUAAUCUGUAUUCCUGAAAACAUUCUGAGCUAA